rnacentral:lncRNA from 1 species
AGCCAGCCCACCUCAAUGCCAACGACUGGGCCACCAAUGGUGUGGGCCGGAAAGGAGCCACUCAUAUGGCUACGGGCUUUUGGACGCAGGCGCCAUGGUGGCCCUGGCCCAGAAUUGGACCACAGUGGCCCCCCAGCGGAAGUGCAUCAUCGACAUCCUCACCGAGCCCAAGACAUCGGGAAACGGCUCGAGGUGCGGAAGACCGUGACCGCGUGCCUGGGC